rnacentral:misc_RNA from 1 species
GAUGAAGAACGCAGCGAAAUGCGAUAAGUAGUGUGAAUUGCAGAAUUCAGUGAAUCAUCGAAUCUUUGAACGCACAUUGCGCCCCUUGGUAUUCCAUGGGGCAUGCCUGUUCAAGCGUCAUUUGUACCUUCAAGCUUUGCUUGGUGUUGGGUGUUUGUCUCGCCUUUGCGUGUAGACUCGCCUUAAAAUAAUUGGCAGCCGGCGUAUUGAUUUCGGAGCGCAGUACAUCUCGCGCUUUGCACUCAUAACGACAGCGUCCAAAAGUACAUUUUACACUCUUGACCUCGGAUCAGGUAGGGAUACCCGCUGAACUUAAGCAUAUCAAUAAGCGGAGGA